UUCCCUUUCUCGCGUCCCGCCCACAGAAUAUUCGAGCCGAGGAGUCGAGGAAGAGCCCAGAGGAGAGAGGAGUCUAGGCAACAGCUCAGUAUUGAUCAGUAUUUAUACCACAUAUGAGUCUCUCGAUAUCACAGUCUUGGUUACCCUCUACAGUCACAAACUUUUACAUCAGUCUGUAUUGUUUUAUAGCAAAAUUACUUAAUCAGAUAAGAUGUUCAAAAACGUAAACGUGCAUGGUUUGAAAUAAAACAAAUUUUAUUUGAAUAUUUGUUUGCAAAAGUUAAAAUGAAGCAAUGCCCUCUGGGAAUUUCAAGACAGAAUCGAGUAAAACCGCGUCUGUGUCUGUCUGCGUCAGCGUGGUUGUUAGAAGUUGAAAUUUGGAAGUUGGAAGCUAUGGUUGGAAGUUGGAAGCUAUACCGUUGACAAAAAAAUGUAUCAAGGCAUCAAGCGACACAAUGGGGAGGCAGUGGGGGCAGAGAAAAAGAGAGAGAAAUAUAAGAGAGCACUGUUGGCUGACGGUGAAAAAUGCUGCAAACUGACUGAUUUGUUUUUUAAAAUCAAGUGCAGCUUCAGCUAGCAUUAGUGCUAAUACUGCUAGCAUGUUAGCGACACAUCUGAGCCAGCACACCAGGGAGAAAGACAGGACAGUGAGGAAUAUGAGGAAGAGGAAGAACAAAACGAGCAAGAGAUAGACAUAGAUAACGAAUCUAUGGAACUAACCAACACAGAACAACAAGCCUGCUGUGGGUCUGAAUGUGGAUUACCAGAAGCAACCGAGAUGGACACCAAUGCUGCAGGAGGGAGUGUAGCAACAAGCAGUUUGAAGACUUCGAAGAACAGCGGUGUCCGCCUGUGUACCGAUUGACGGACUGGCUACAUCAUGCCGCCAGAUCUCCACCAAAGCUGCGAGGCAUGCCUCGGCCCCGUUCGCUGGGCUGGCACCCCGCUGGCCGCCAGCAUUUCUUCGGAGGAACAAAAGUGGCAGACGCUGGCAGCCGGGCGGACAGUCAGGUAAGGUAAGUAUACCACCGGUGGCGACACCCUGAAAUCCUGGAAGAGGCUCUCUUCGAAGCAAUAGUCCGCUGACCUGGAUCCCCCCGGGGAUGGUUCUAUAGCCGGCACCAGCUCUCCCUCCUCUGAACAGGAACUCGAAACAGAAGAGGAUUACGGAGCCCCGACACUGCGGCUGUCUCUGUCCCAGAAGGGGAGCACCGCAUCAGCGGCUUUCUCCUCCGCAUCAGGCGGGAUCCCUGUGUGUGUUUGGACCGCACCUUGGACAGCCACGAGCUAUAGGUAGUGGAGGGAAAGCGGAAACACACCCUGCACCCACCUGAUCCAAUCCACCCCUGAGCCGACUCGCAAACAGCGUUCCCCUCACACACACACAGAUAAGCUCGCCACUACGUUCACAUGCAGUAACACAUGCAAAGCCCAGCCACACAACCUUUAGAUUCUGAAAUAAUCCUGUUAAAUUGCUCGUUUCUCGAGCGAUCUUACAAAUGAAACUGUCUGUCUGACAGCAGCUCUGAUAUGUUCACCUUUUAUAGAACGUUAAUAAUAUUUUCCUCGUUGAUUGUAUAUUAUUUCACCCACCCACUAUUAAUCAGAAUAAUAAUUUGUAAGAUCUGAUGGCCCAAAUCGUAACAUUAACCACGGAGCCGCGGAUAUUAUCGCUCUCUCUCUCCCCUUUUCUCUCUCUCACUCUCUCUCCUCCUCUUGCUCUGGCACGCCUAUAUGUUUACAUGCUGCGGGUGAAAAGUCAUCUGCGAGGAUACAUCAGUGUAUCGAUUUUAAAUCCUCGGAGGAGCCUCCUUGAUGCUCGAUGCGCGAUCCUCACUCCUAGAUGUGUAUUUUAUGAAUUGGGACGUCCCUCAACAUGGCACACUGAGAAUGAUUUCCGGGUCACAAG